AUACGGAGGGUGCAAGCGUUGUUCGGAAUCACUGGGCGUAAAGGGCGCGCAGGCGGUUUGGUAAGUCAGAUGUGAAAGCCCACGGCUCAACCGUGGAAGUGCAUUUGAAACUGUCAGACUUGAGUACUAGAGGGGAAAGUGGAAUUCCCGGUGUAGAGGUGAAAUGCGUAGAUAUCGGGAGGAAUACCGGUGGCGAAGGCGACUUUCUGGCUAGAUACUGACGCUGAGGCGCGAAAGCGUGGGGAGCAAACAGGAUUAGAAACCCCGGUAGUCC
rnacentral:rRNA from 1 species